rnacentral:lncRNA from 1 species
CUUUGCUACCUUGCGCGCGCCAUGUUGUUUCUCACCUCCAAGGCCUGAUUGCCGUCCCUGUCAGCAGACUAUGGACUGAAACCUCUACAAAUGGUGUACAGAGUUUGUCCUGGGAAAAUGUAUAGAUGCCAGCUGCAGUUUUACCUUUGGAAAGAAUGCCAAAUCGGUAAUCACAACAAAGCCUCUCCAAACAAACCAUGGUUUACUCAUCAUCUAUAUAAGGCAAAGGAAAAAGAAAAAGGUAAAAUUAUGAACUGGACCUCAGGACUACUGGAUUUUGCUCCAUACUUGUUCGCUAGACAGCUGUAUGGCUUUAGCAGCUUCGAAGGCGAGGAUUGUGCUAAAACUUCAGCCAUUACAGAACUGGAUUAUGGACACACAUGACCUAUUCAAGUAAUUCCCAAACCCAGCUGCUGAUCAGUAUCACUAGGGAGCUCCUAGUGAUACUCCAUGUACCCGCAGAAAUUGAUUCAAUGUCUGUGGCAAGAGGAAUCUGUUUUUCAAUGCAUUAAUCCAAGUAUUCCUAAUGUAUGUCUUGCUUAGAAUGAUAAAUCAAUCUUUCUUUCAUCAUUUUUAUCAGUACAUAUUUGCAGUACAUAAUGUUUACAUUCCUUGUGUGGAAUUGGUAUGGCACAUAACACAUCCCCAAAAUCUGGCCUGACAUUGAAGACCUUACAAAAUGUGGCCCCACCCUACCGCGGUAGAGGGGUUUUGUCACAGUGUUACUUCCAUCCCACCACCAUGCAUGUUGCUUACCAGUGAUUUUAUGCAUGUUAAUUUCUCUCAGUUUUUGCCAACACAUCAAACUAUGACUCCUUCCUUUAAGACAUAACCCAGGUUUCUUGUGCCUAAGAAGUUGCUCCUCACUCCCUGAGCCAGCUUUAACUGUGUCCCUGUCUGGGUUUCCACAACACUCUGUUAAAACAUUGAUAAUAAACUAUAUUUCUUACCACUAGCUCACAAG